GUCAAUUUAUGUUACCUUUCUUAGUGAUUGCCUUUUAUUCUUGUUGAGCUGGAUUUCUGAAAACUCUGCAUCAUGAUGACGGCUUUUCAGACGAUCUAGUUCACUUUCAAGAUUCAAGCUGUUCCACUCAAGCUUAUUAACAGAAACUAAAAAGUUCAUUCCUUUAAUCAUGGCUCAUCAUCGGUUAUAGUUGAUUGGUCAUACUGGUUGAAGAAACUGAUCACAAAUUGGUCAAUAGGACUAGAAGGAUUAUCUACUAAGACAACGGAAGAAUUCAAUGGCGCAGAGUCAAACUCGUCUCCAUUAAAAUCAUCAUUACUGUCCUCAUCACAGUGAGCCACAGUUUUAAUAUCACAAAAUGAACGGAAUGGCUUUAAUUGCAAAUAACUCAGACCGUUUUUCUGGCAAACAAGGAACAAGAAAUU